UAAAAUCGAAAUAUAUUUUUCGUAUAUUAAAAAAAUGGGGUAAUUGCCUGUAAAUCCCUAACGUUUGCCGUCACCGGAAAUGCCACUGUAGCAGCCGAAAUCGACGACGAGGUGGCAGAUGAAAUUCUCCACUUGACUCAUUUUUGACAUGUGGCAAAAAAAUCUAAAAAAAAAAAUGAAAUAAAAAAUACAUGUGGAAAAAAAAAGAAAAAUCACCCCCC
rnacentral:lncRNA from 1 species